rnacentral:rRNA from 1 species
CCUACGGGAGGCAGCAGUGAGGAAUAUUGGUCAAUGGGCGUAAGCCUGAACCAGCCAAGUCGCGUGAGGGAUGAAGGUUCUAUGGAUCGUAAACCUCUUUUAUAAGGGAAUAAAGUGUGGGACGUGUCCUGUUUUGUAUGUACCUUAUGAAUAAGGAUCGGCUAACUCCGUGCCAGCAGCCGCGGUAAUACGGAGGAUCCGAGCGUUAUCCGGAUUUAUUGGGUUUAAAGGGUGCGUAGGCGGCCUUUUAAGUCAGCGGUGAAAGUUUGUGGCUCAACCAUAGAAUGGCCGUUGAAACUGGGAGGCUUGAGUAUGUUUGAGGCAGGCGGAAUGCGUGGUGUAGCGGUGAAAUGCUUAGAUAUCACGCAGAACCCCGAUUGCGAAGGCAGCCUGCCAAGCCAUGACUGACGCUGAUGCACGAAAGCGUGGGGAUCAAACAGGAUUAGAUACCCCAGUAGUC